UUGAACGCUGGCGGCAGGCCUAACACAUGCAAGUCGAGCGGUAGCACAGAGAGCUUGCUCUCGGGUGACGAGCGGCGGACGGGUGAGUAAUGUCUGGGAAACUGCCUGAUGGAGGGGGAUAACUACUGGAAACGGUAGCUAAUACCGCAUAAUGUCGCAAGACCAAAGUGGGGGACCUUCGGGCCUCAUGCCAUCAGAUGUGCCCAGAUGGGAUUAGCUAGUAGGUGGGGUAACGGCUCACCUAGGCGACGAUCCCUAGCUGGUCUGAGAGGAUGACCAGCCACACUGGAACUGAGACACGGUCCAGACUCCUACGGGAGGCAGCAGUGGGGAAUAUUGCACAAUGGGCGCAAGCCUGAUGCAGCCAUGCCGCGUGUGUGAAGAAGGCCUUCGGGUUGUAAAGCACUUUCAGCGGGGAGGAAGGCGUUAAGGUUAAUAACCUUGGCGAUUGACGUUACCCGCAGAAGAAGCACCGGCUAACUCCGUGCCAGCAGCCGCGGUAAUACGGAGGGUGCAAGCGUUAAUCGGAAUUACUGGGCGUAAAGCGCACGCAGGCGGUCUGUCAAGUCGGAUGUGAAAUCCCCGGGCUCAACCUGGGAACUGCAUUCGAAACUGGCAGGCUAGAGUCUUGUAGAGGGGGGUAGAAUUCCAGGUGUAGCGGUGAAAUGCGUAGAGAUCUGGAGGAAUACCGGUGGCGAAGGCGGCCCCCUGGACAAAGACUGACGCUCAGGUGCGAAAGCGUGGGGAGCAAACAGGAUUAGAUACCCUGGUAGUCCACGCCGUAAACGAUGUCGAUUUGGAGGUUGUGCCCUUGAGGCGUGGCUUCCGGAGCUAACGCGUUAAAUCGACCGCCUGGGGAGUACGGCCGCAAGGUUAAAACUCAAAUGAAUUGACGGGGGCCCGCACAAGCGGUGGAGCAUGUGGUUUAAUUCGAUGCAACGCGAAGAACCUUACCUGGUCUUGACAUCCACAGAACUUAGCAGAGAUGCUUUGGUGCCUUCGGGAACUGUGAAACAGGUGCUGCAUGGCUGUCGUCAGCUCGUGUUGUGAAAUGUUGGGUUAAGUCCCGCAACGAGCGCAACCCUUAUCCUUUGUUGCCAGCGGUUAGGCCGGGAACUCAAAGGAGACUGCCAGUGAUAAACUGGAGGAAGGUGGGGAUGACGUCAAGUCAUCAUGGCCCUUACGACCAGGGCUACACACGUGCUACAAUGGCAUAUACAAAGAGAAGCGACCUCGCGAGAGCAAGCGGACCUCAUAAAGUAUGUCGUAGUCCGGAUUGGAGUCUGCAACUCGACUCCAUGAAGUCGGAAUCGCUAGUAAUCGUAGAUCAGAAUGCUACGGUGAAUACGUUCCCGGGCCUUGUACACACCGCCCGUCACACCAUGGGAGUGGGUUGCAAAAGAAGUAGGUAGCUUAACCUUCGGGAGGGCGCUUACCACUUUGUGAUUCAUGACUGGGGUG
rnacentral:rRNA from 1 species